CCAAACCAUGUUUUUAAAUUGCCGUUGCAGCCAAUCCAAAUCAUACCGAAGCUUUAAGAGCUUUAGGUGAAACUCAUCAUGUUUUGGGUGAACCACGUUUAGCAGAGAAAAUUCUAAAAGAUGCCGCCAAGCUAGAUCCUAGUUGUCCUAAAAUAUGGUUUACUUUAGGCAAAGUUCUAGAAUCAUUGGGUGAAUAUACCGCCUCGGCUGACUGUAUGGCAACGGCCUUGCAAUUAGAACCCACAUGUCCUAUACUUCCAUUCACCUCUAUAGCAUUAACAUUUGAAUAAAAGAUUUUAUUAAUUACUUUAUAGUUUUUUUUUUUUUUUAAACAUUUGAAUGUUAUUUUUUUAUAUUAUAU